rnacentral:rRNA from 1 species
UGGGGAAUUGUUCGCAAUGGGCGCAAGCCUGACGACGCAACGCCGCGUGGAGGACGAAGAUUUUCGGAUCGUAAACUCCUUUCGAUCGGGAAGAACGGCUUCCGGGUGAAUACCCUGGAAGAGUGACGGUACCGAGAGAAGAAGCCCCGGCUAACUCCGUGCCAGCAGCCGCGGUAAUACGGGGGGGGCAAGCGUUGUUCGGAAUUACUGGGCGUAAAGGGCUCGUAGGCGGCCAACUAAGUCCGACGUGAAAUCCCAAGGCUUAACCUUGGAACUGCGUCGGAUACUGGAUGGCUUGAAUUCGGGAGAGGGAUGCAGAAUUCCAGGUGUAGCGGUGAAAUGCGUAGAUAUCUGGAGGAAUACCGGUGGCGAAGGCGGCAUCCUGGACCGACAUUGACGCUGAUGAGCGAAAGCUAGGGGAGCAAACGGGAUUAGAUACCCCCGUAGUCC